UACGAAGGUGGCAAGCGUUGUUCGGAAUCACUGGGCUUAAAGAGCACGUAGGCGGCCUCAUAAGCGAUCUGUGAAAUCCCUCGGCUCAACCGAGGAAUUGCUGGUCGAACUGUGAGGCUUGAGGCAAGUAGGGGUGCAUGGAACUCUUGGUGGAGCGGUGAAAUGCGUAGAUAUCAAGAGGAACGCCGGUGGCGAAAGCGGUGCACUGGGCUUGUCCUGACGCUGAGGUGCGAAAGCUAGGGGAGCAAACGGG
rnacentral:rRNA from 1 species